CAAACCACAUCCAUUCAUCGAUGAUUCACCUUUCCAAAUCCCUAGCCAAUCGAUUAUCUUAAAAUGGUGAUCUUCUUCAAACGGCAAUCCCUAGCCCACGAUCAAUGUUAGGGUUUAAUUUCUUUCUUUGUUUGCUAAAUAAACCUUAACCCAAUUGAUCUUCUUCAAACGAGAUCUUCAUUUCCAACAUUUGCCAAAACCUUAACAUCUACCAAUCGAAAAACUCUAACAUCUUUGUUUAACAUCCGUCAUCAACUCAAGCAUCUCGUCGUUGAUCUUCCAAUCUCUGAAACAAAGACACAACUAUGGAAAGCGAACAAAAAAGGGGGGAAAAAGAACUAUGGAACUUGAAGAAUCAUUAGCCUAAACUGUCAAAGAAGAUGUUGGAGAAUGAAAAUGACCAGAAGGUUGCAAGAGAAUAGAAGAAUGCAAAGGACCAAAAGAAUACAAAAGACCAGAAAAAAACUUUUCCAAAGCAAACAAAGCAUUCUCCUAGAAUCAAGGACUGUGCCCCUAGUUUUGACUUAAAAAUCUCCCAGAUGUAAUACUAUAGUUGUGACUUAGUUUUAAGGAUAUUGUACUACUUUAAUAUUGUGGCUAUUAUAGUACCUUAGUUUUUGUGGAUACUGUAGCAUCAGUAAUUGAAAAAAAUCCACGAUAGAUUUCACAGUGACAUUAAUUUCAUUUGUAGUUGAUUUUGUCAUAUAAAUAUAGAAAAAUGAUAGAUCGUUAGUUGAAUCA